CUACGGGAGGCUGCAGUGGGGAAUAUUGCACAAUGGGCGCAAGCCUGAUGCAGCCAUGCCGCGUGUAUGAAGAAGGCCUUCGGGUUGUAAAGUACUUUCAGCGGGGAGGAAGGGAGUAAGGUUAAUACCUUUGCUCAUUGACGUUACCCGCAAAAGAAGCACCGGCUAACUCCGUGCGCAGCAGCCGCGGUAAUAGCGGAGGGUGCAAGCGUUAAUCGGAAUUACUGGGCGUAAAGCGCACGCAGGCGGUUUGUUAAGUCAGAUGUGAAAUCCCCGGGCUCAACCUGGGAACUGCAUCUGAUACUGGCAAGCUUGAGUCUCGUAGAGGGGGGUAGAAUUCCAGGUGUAGCGGUGAAAUGCGUAGAGAUCUGGAGGAAUACCGGUGGCGAAGGCGGCCCCCUGGACGAAGACUGACGCUCAGGUGCGAAAGCGUGGGGAGCAAACAGGAUUAGAUACCCUAGUAGUC
rnacentral:rRNA from 1 species